UUUCAUCUUGACUAUGUGACAAACCAAAGAAGAGUUUAAAAUAGUCUAUCUUAAAUUACAAACACAUUUGCAUCACAGAAAAUAAUGAUUCACAAACACUAAGCGACCAAAAGCCUUUAGGCGAGCCUCUAAGGAGUACAAUCAGGGGAUAGAGAAAAAAUAAGCUGUUAUGGAAAAACUGAAUGCACAAUAACAAAAUUAUCUGGGUAAGAAGAAAAAUUUACCAACUGACAGGCAAUGAAAGGACAGAUUGUUCAGUUAGUUUCAGUUACAGGAAGACAGAUACCCAUGAGAUGCACAGAAGAUGAUGACAUCACCACAGUUGGAACCUUUGGCUUAUCAAAAGGGCUUAAUGAUCCACAGAGUGAGAGACACACACACCUGUCUUCAAACUAUUGAGAUUUCAUUAGUUAAGAGUACUCUAUGGAUUUAGCAUUGCACACCUAUAACAGUAUUGGACAUGGCAUUUGCUGCCAUGCAAAAAAAUUGCCGUGGCUUUCUGCAUAUCAUAUGAACUUCAUAAUCGACAUGGACCCUAUUUUCCCAUGUUUUUGUCUCUAAGUGACGAAUAGGAACAACAUUUUUGGAAAUAGGUACAGUGCUGAGGAAGAGGGCUGCAGCCACUAGGCUACCAUGUAAACAGUCAGAGGCGUGUUCGCACCAUCAAUUUACGUCCACUAAAAGUGCUUGUUUAUUUCACUGACAGGUUCAGAUUGUUAUUCUAUGUGUCUGACAAGAUUAUUGAAAUGAUCCCUACAGAAAUAAACCCUUUAAAAUAAAAAGUAAUUUUAUAAUUGUAAAACACACUUCAUUCAAAGUCAACAAAAAACAAAUUAGAACUCACAGAAACCAUCUCUCCACUGCUUUGAUAACCACCAAAUCUGGUUUUGUUGAAAUAAACCUUAAAAUCACCCACUUGGACAUAAAAAUGCGCUGGCUCUAUACACGCUAAAGCUCCUAAUUAUUUAAAUAGAGUCUGGUGGGUUUGGCGAUGGCAGUUUCUGGGCUGCUUCUGGUCAAACAAAAAGGAUCUAACACUUAAUCCAAACACUGUUAGAUUGUUUAUCCACCGGUAAAAAAAAACACUGGGCCUACACUGACCUGUAAUUCUUGAGAUUGUAAAUCCCUACCUUAUAAUGUUAUGGUAUAUCAUCAAAACACAGACGAAUGACAUUAAGUAACGUUAACACUGCUAUAUUGUCUUUGAACCUGCAUGGAAUUUACUAAAACAUGCCAGUCUAUUACAUCACAGUGUUCUGGUAAAUUGUGAGGCAAAUUGUGAUUUGUGAUAUUGGGCUUAUAAAUAAAAUUGAUUGAUUGAUUGAUUGAUUGAUGGCUGUAGGAUAGUGAUAAUAUAGUACGGUGAAUUAAUCAUACAGUAAAUGUAAUAGUGUCUCUUAUGUGAAUUCAAAAACCAAGUUUCCUCGCAUUUACAGGCUGAGAGAAAAACCUGUUUUCCCCUCACUGACCACACUGCCUAACUAUGACUAGACACCAACUGUAUCUAUAAGCUGACACCAACAUUACCUAUAAUGCACGCUACUCCAGACAGUUCAGUCAGAGAUGAAACAGUGCUAUGCUAGUUGUGGUUAAUGCAGAUAUAGGGAGCAGCCUACAGAGGUCUGGUAAGCUCUCUUCUUUAUAACUCCACUUUUUUCAUUUUUCGUUAUCAAACUUGCAGUCUUUAACCUUAACAGAUGCAAUUUAUCAGACUUUACAUAGCGACAUGGCACAAAAAGCGUUAUACAACUUUUUUUCAACUGUGCAGUCAUAUUGCUUAACACCUGUAAACAGACUUGGAUGUGUGAAAUGAUCAUCAUUAACACACAAAUUAAUGGAUGUGGUGUGUCAGUCAACAAACCAAAUACAUGACUCAACACUGGCACUCCACCUGCUAGAGAAAACAUUUGCACUACAGCACAGUAAACACACGAAAGACCACAGUAAAAACUGGAGCCAGCCACUGAAACUUUACAGUAUCCAGCAAAGAGAAUAUUUGAAAACAAUUUUAACAGUCUGCCUUAAAAUCUUAUUUUACAAGUAAUAUAUGUCCUCUUUUUAUUACAUUUUUUGUACUUUUAAGUGCAUUUGCGCUCUUAUUCCAAAAAUACUUAAAUGCUAAAAAGAAAACAUGCUCAGGAAAUGGACAGGCAAGUCCCCAAAACCCUUUGAAACACCAAGAAAAAGGCCUUCUACCUCACCACUCACACACUGACUAACACUAGCUUCAGUGCAUAGCUAUAAGUGAUUAUACAGACAGUUGUAUAUGUGUCCAAACUCAUCCUAAAGAAAGACUUUACCAGAAAGAGUGAAGACAAAUGUCUGGUCUUAGAGACCUCCGCUACCUCAGGUUUAGUAUGCUGUGGCCUUGUCAUUACCCUCACACAGGCCUCUACUACAAAAAACACAUCCUUUUAGUCCAGAUUUAGAGUCUUUUCAUGUCCACAAAAAGACCUAUUUCUUUAAGAAUGGUCUUUGUCAUUUGGCUAGAAAUAAAAUACACAAAUACUUAGAAGGUCCCAAUUCAAAGUGCAAUGGUCCAUAAAGUGUACACAUAGUAACUUGGCCUCCUCUCUGGUUUUUCCACAACAUAACAUAAUGUAAUUUAAAGGCUCCAUUUCUUGACUCCGACACACGCUGUAAACAUGAUUACUACAGUGGAAAGUCAUGUAAACACAAAGGGGAAUCAUGGGAUAGGUCACCAGUUCAAACACUAGAAAACACAAGGUUUUAACGCCCAUGCAAGCAAGAGCUGUGUGCAUCCAAACACAAAACACACACACACAAAGAUCCAACAUAAACCCAUUUCAACUAUAAUCCCAUGAUCCACUCAUUAGUCACACUAUUUGUUACCUUACUGGACCCACAGUUCAGCCAUGAAUACUGUUGGUGGCGGAGCAACAAAGAGUCAAAGUGAUCGAACUACUUACAAUAGUUAUUGUUGAUAAAAGGCUCCAAACACCUGGAGCAAAGGACAGGAAAAAGUCAAAUAAAAGCUGCUAAAUGAAUUCACACUGCUUAGAGAUCAGAUUUGGGGACAGGGCUGGGCGAUAAAAGGAUAAUUAUCAUGAUAUAGUUUUCCUCAAUAAUAACACGACAAAUUUUCAAUAAAUAUAUGACAUAAUUAAACCAUGCAAACACAGGAAGAGGGGGGUGCUAAUGCACCUUAAAUGCUAGUCGCCACCCGCCAUUAUAGCGAAGAAAACAACAGCCACCAAGACUUACUGUCACCAAGCUAAUGCGGUCACUUAUUAGUUAUUUUGAGUGUUCUGAUCACAGAUAACAGCACCGGGCUACCCCACCAUUACAUUCACCACAUGACUUUAGUUAUGUUAGCUAUGCUAUUUGUACAUUAGCAAGUUAACGUUAUGUUACUUGCAGCUAUUUCAUUAGAAUUAAAUCAAAUAACAUGAAUAAAAGGUAAUGCAAAUAAAACUUGGAUACAUCAAAUUGUCCAUGAACAUGAUCUCUGACUGCUAUUUUGUGACAUCAUCAAAGUCAGUCUUUUGUUUUUGCUUUGAUUGAGAAACAUCAGAAAUUAUACACUUUGGGUUUAAAAUUUGUACAGAAAAUAUUAACCAUGGUUGAGUCUUCUUUCCUUUGUUUACAGUGUCAGCUAAAACACUUAAAAAUUGUUUUAAGGCAUCUGCACUAACAGUUUGAUCUGCUGCUGACCAGGAUUAAGAUUUCUUUGUAUAUUAAAGGUUUUACUUACUGACAUUACUUUGAUUAUAAUUGUUUUGAAUCUACCUCAGAUCUGUGAGUGUUCCACUGUUUGGCAAAUACUGUCAUCAUCUGACGAUAAAGAAUAGUUUAAACCACAGCUAACCGUAUGUUUCUUCGAAUUUCACUCAGGGGCAAAAACCAGCCUUUAAACUUGAAAGAAAAAUGAUUUGACAUUUAUUAUGGUAAUUAUUUAUAUUUACCUGGCCAUAUCACCCAGCCGUAUUAGGGAGUAUGUAAAAGCAAGCCCAGUUCCCCCGUUCUUUGGUACCAAUAAGAGCCAUCUACAUGCAAAUAGCCUGGAUAGUCCCCUCACCCUGCCUGUACAGGGUCAGGCAGCUCAAAGGCAUCUCUCCUAUGGGACUAAUGUGUGUGUGAACUGCAGCGUUAUAACUCCAGCUGCCACCAAACAAGGUGCAAACUGAUCAAACUACAAAAUGAGUGCACGGAUCUGAGUGUGAGUUAGGAAUAACUUCCUUAGGAGACAAAAACAUCUAUCAGCCUGUGUGUCUUGUUUUUCUAACUUUCCAUCUUCUACUUUCAGUUCAUGUUCUUUUCUGCAGUUACACAAACAGCUGAUGUCUCGAAAAAGCGGCAAACGCACCACAGGCACCCACCACAGCGACAGACCAAGGAAUGAUAUUUCUAUUCCACGAUGGAAACUUGCUCAGUUCCAUUAUCAUAAAAUGCUAACCACUGUGCUGUUAUGAAUCUGACUGCUUUUCCAACCACCAUAUUAGCGGGGAAUGAUAUGGCCUACGAUGUCUGCUGUGUGUGUGAGAAAGAGGUUGUGUUUCAUAGUGUGUGAGCGUGUGAGUAAUACAUUAGUAAGACAAAGAAUAGAUAGAUUAAAGUGUACACGUUAUUAUUCAGAUCUCUGUGACCAGAAAUGUUUCAAAGGGAAGUAGAGGAAGCUCCAGCUGAAAGGAAGGGAUGACUAACUUUUUACCACAGCUGACUAUGGUCAUCUACCAACUGGCCUGCUUUAAGACUAAUUACAGGGAGAGCCCACAACUGGGAGCAAUUUGCCUCACCAAUAUUUUCUAACACAAAAUUACUGAUUGAUUGAAUAAAUAGCAAACAGCAGCAUGUGAGGAAAUGGGUUUUGGUAAGAGAGGCAAAAGCAAAGAGAAACACAGGCCAAAACUUUUAAACUUUUCCUCCUAGAAAAUGUCCUGACUCACAAAAAAAAACAAAACAGGAAGAUGCAGCAGGACCCUGAGGGUCCAAACACAGGGACAGGAACAAGGCGCUGUGACGCCAGCUGGCUUGUCAUAUCGCAGUGGCCUUGGUCCCAGCGGACAUUGACCCCAGAUUGUAUAGAAAACAACAGAGACCCCACCUAAAGAGAUGUCACCAGUAAUCCCCUCCUGUCCAAUCUGACACUGAAGAACACAUUGUUAAUCUUGGGAACUAAAUGAAUGAUCUAAGUGUAGAUAACAAGAUAAGGUGAUUUCAAGGUGAUUUUUAGCUUGACAACUUUCCCCAAGCUGGAAAGGAUUCAGUAUCUUGCUCAGGUGCAAUUUGCAGCUAAUUACUACUUAAUAAUAUUUAAAUUCUUUAAUCUCUGGGAAGAAUCACAUUGACUGGUCAUGUAUUAAAUGUUCUUCGAAAGAGUCACCUUCCCCUCAAGCAGAGACAGAGAGAAAAAGGAGGAGGGCGUAGUUGUGGCAAGUUAGUCAGCAGUGAUCUCUCAGGUUCAUCGCCCACUGGAGGGACGAGCAGGAAGCGAUGACGCAUUUCACAACAGGAAAUGUGUAAGAAAGACAGAAAAACAAACAGAAGCACUCAGCUGGAGUGUUUGCUUCUGACUGUGUGUGAGUGGUUGUUUGUGGGUGAUCAGCAGGUUGACUCUGUUUUACGGUGACCUUCACCCAUCUAUUCCUGGGCACUGGGACUUGCCAUAAAGCCUGUACACAAUGCAUUGGCAACCGCUGUAGAGGAAUCACACACUGAGGCUCAUAUGCUUCUCUCCUUCUCCUCCUACUGCUGCUGAGGAAGACUCCGCCCCCUCUGACUGGAAGCAGGAAGAGAGUUAGGAGAGCAGGAAGCAAGAGCUUUUACUCACAGUCACAUGAUCUUCCCAACACUUUCUCAUUACUGAAGUGCCAUUUCCACUAACUAUAGCAGUGGCACCCGUAAUGCAGGAAAUGGGAACAAUGAUUCGUUUUUGUAACCAUGCUGGUGCAGAAGUACAGGAAAAGCAGGUAAAGUGUCUCACCAGCGCUCAUCGUAGAGAAAAUUAUGAAUAUAGACACAAAUCAGAGAUUGAUUAAACUGUGUGAACAAGAUUUUGUUUUUACAGCCAUGAUUGCUACUGUAUUACAGCUCAUGAGAACUACUGUCUUUUCCUGCUUUUUCCAAACAAACUGCUGCCGUCUCUGCAGCUGCUGCUGAAAAUAUAAAAUGCAUCCUUCCUGUUAACAAGAGGACUUUUCCUGGGAAAGACUGACCGGCAGGUGAAGCAGAAUACCCAUUUUUAGCUGACUGUAUUAGAAAUUACCACAGUUUAUGGUGUAUUUUGGUGUGUGUAUUGUGUGAUGAGUAUUUUAUUGUAUUCUCAUUUUACAGUGUGUUAUGGUUUUGUGAUACUGAAUGUUGUAUAUUUUGAAUACACUGUACAUGUAAAAGCUCAAAUAGGGACAAGAGUUGAAAAGUAGCAAUAGCUACAAACUCUCAGUGCAGAACAUCAGUUUCAUGCUCUGUAUGGGACGAAAAUAAAUUGCAUCAGCCCUGGCUAAUAAAAUUAAUUCAAAC